CCAGCUCCAAUAGCGUAUAUUAAAGUUGUUGCAGUUAAAAAGCUCGUAGUUGAAUUUUUGGUGGAGCCAACCUGUCCUUCACUUGGUGUUGGCACUUGGUUGGUUCUCUGCCCUCCUUGGCUGGAGCCAGCAUGGCAUUUGGUUGUCGUGUUGGGGACGGUCAUCUUUUACUGUGAAGAAAUUAGAGUGUUCAAAGCAGGCUUAGGCCUUGAAUACAUUAGCAUGGAAUAAUGAAAUAGGGUUUUGGCACUAUUUUGUUGGUUUGCGCGCCGAAACAAUGAUUAAUAGGGACAGUUGGGGGUAUUCGUAUUCAAUUGUCAGAGGUGAAAUUCUUGGAUUUCUGGAAGACGAACAACUGCGAAAGCAUUUACCAAGGAUGUUUUCA
rnacentral:rRNA from 1 species